GCAUUAGUGGUGUAAUGGUUAACAUGUGGUCUUCCCAUAUAGCUCACGAGUGUUGGUCUGGCCGCGUUCGGGGUUCGAUUCCCCGCUAAUGCA